rnacentral:rRNA from 1 species
AUGAAUUCGACACAGCGAGACCAGAAUUUUUGCAAUGCAAACUUAGCUAUGGUUCAUGGUGCGCUUACUCUGGGUGUUAACGGCAGGGAGGAGACUUGCCUGUCACUAGUGGCCGACGAGACGGCAACGGUGCAUUUCCUGUUGUGGGGCACCGAGUGCGAUGCCUUCGAGCCCGGGGACAUCGUGCGGCUCACGAGCGGCAUCUUCUCCUACCAUAGGGGCAACAAGCUCUUCCUGCGGGCUGGUAAGCGAGGACGCACGGAGAAGGUGGGUGAGUUCACCAUGACGUUCGUCGAGACCCCCAACAUGAGCAUUGAGAUGAGGUGGGGCGGUGGGGGCCUGAUCCAGGCGACCCGAGGAAGAUGGUGCAGGAGGCCGUCCUGUCGCCCUACUCCCAGGUCUUCAAGCCGCUGCACUGACUGA